CUACGGGUUGCUCCAGUGAGGAAUAUUGCACAAUGGGGGGAACCCUGAUGCAGCAACGCCGCGUGGAGGAUGACGCAUUUCGGUGUGUAAACUCCUUUUAUAUGUCAAGAAAAUGACGGUAGCAUAUGAAUAAGCACCGGCUAACUCCGUGCCAGCAGCCGCGGUAAUACGGAGGGUGCAAGCGGUACUCGGAAUCACUGGCGUAAAGGACGCGUAGGCGGGUUGGAAAGUCAGGUGUGAAAUCCUACAGCUUAACUGUAGAACUGCACUUGAAACUUCUAAUCUAGAGUAUGGGAGGGGGAGAUGGAAUUAGUGGUGUAGGGGUAAAAUCCGUAGAUAUCACUAGGAAUACCUAAAGCGAAGGCGAUCUCCUGGAACAUUACUGACGCUAAGGCGUGAAAGCGUGGGGAGCAAACAGGAUUAGAUACCCCGGUAGUC
rnacentral:rRNA from 1 species